CGUUCAUCUGGAACUAGGACAUAACAGCUUUUUUCUUAGGAAAUGGAGGAGUGUGUGAACUGAACUCACCUGUGAACAGCAUUGUCUUGGUCUUUGCUCCUUUUUUCUCUUAGUAUAUAUUUUUCCUCUAAGUUUAUCCUUGUGUCAAAAGAAAUUAGAAAGACAAACUGUAGGAGAGUCAUGUCUGUUAUCAGGCUGGCUGCUGCCACACUUAAUAAGCACUCGAGCUCCCAGAACAGGAAACUCCCAAUUAAUAGUGAUUAGAAACAUUUUUUUUCAUUGUAAAUACUCCAGCACAGUGUACAUCAUCAGCAGCACUUCUCUGGUUACAGCUGUCAUCUUCAGUCUUGUCUACCCUUGGAUCUCAAUGGAAAGAUGGUCUUUCAUUUAUUCUCUGUCAUUAACAAAGCUGAUUAACUGGAAUACAUAUGAAGGAUCUUGGCCUGCAACAGAUGUAGAGCCAUGCCUGGACUGACUGCUCAAUGCGUUAAGCAAGGAGAAAACAUUCAUCUGCUCUGCUAAAAGCUCACUAAAAGUGGGAACAGUCUGGGAUGCUGCAAAAAUAAAACCCAGGUUUGUGGUAGGAGUGACUGUGCAUUCCCCCAACUGUUUAUACACACGGCUUGUUCUGAGUGUGUUCUGCUGUUUGUUGUCUUGCUACAUCAUUAAACCAGCUCUCAACAGCCUAGGGAAAAAAAGAAAUCCCGAUGUUAUGUGAGUUGUGUAAUAAGGAAUAUGCAGUUAAGGCCAGAUACCUUAACCUUGAGUCUGCGUUUCUAAUGUCAGGUAACUUUGAUAAGGGGCUGAGUUGCUCAUGUCUCCUGAUGUUUCCGUUAGUGUUGCUUAGCUCCCACUGUUCCUAAUUGCUGAUUAUUUAAAUGUUCACUUACGGGUUUAAAGAGGAAAAGCAUUUUAACCUCACUUGGAACUGGGCAUGUGUGAUGGGACAGACUGAUACUGCUGACAACAUAAUCCUGGUUACCUGAGUGCCGCUGCACCAGUCUCUUUCAUCUGUAGAGUAACACCACGGUGAGGGCACCUGACACUGAGGCUGCCCUUUUGAGGGAGGAGAAAGCCCUAAACAUGAAACGUCUGUGUUUAAAUCCCUAUAACCCAGUCCUUGAUUCCCACAGCUCUAUGUCUGAGCUAUAGCUGUCCUUGUGUGUAGCUGCUCAGCUCUGGGUCCAGCCCUGCUAAAACUAAUGGGAAGGACUUUCAUUAACUGUAGAAACUAGAUCCGGCCCUGAAAGAUGGACAAAGACUUCUAACACUCCUGCUCCUGGUGAGUCUUUUAUGCCUUCAGCUAUCAAAUGUGUACUGUGCUGAGCAGCAUCAUUAAAGAUGCAUGAGCCGUCAGUGUCUCUGUUUCCUGACAGGGCAGGCACAUGUUCUGCCCAGGGCUCUGAGCAGCAAUUCCAGCAUUAACAAUCGCCUUGUGCUCUUUCACUUCAUUGACAAACAAGACCUGAUGAAUUUGGAGCAUCUCUGAAGUCAGACCUUCCAGGUACAGCUAAAGCACUGCAGCCAUGGGAACAGAUGGAGAGAAACUCCCCAUGAAUAAACUCAUCUGGAAAAUGGAAGAUGAAGCUCCUUAGGCAGCAGAACCGGGAACUAAACAGGCUUCAGGAUGUAGCAGGGCAGGUUCAACUCAAGGAUUGUGUGAUGCAAGUGUCAGACCAAACCAGGGGCUUGUGCCUGGGAUUCAGGAAACCUGCCUCCAGUUUUUCUGUACCAAAGGGCUCUGAGGCCAAGUUUCUGUCUGAGAUUGGAUUCAAAACUACACUAAACU